UGUUUAUAUUUAUUAGAUCUGGCCUGCUCAAUGAUUUUUAAUUAAAUAGCCGCAGUAUUUUGACUGUGCGAAGGUAGCAUAAUCAUUUGUCUUUUAAUUGAAGGCUUGAAUGAAUGGUUGGAUGAGGAAAUAACUUUCUUUAUAUUAAUAAUUUGAAUUUAAUUUUUUAGUUAAAAAGCUUAAAUUUUUAAAUGGGACGAGAAGACCCUAUAGAAUUUUAUUCCUAAUUAAUAUUGAAUUUUUUGGUUAAUUAUUAUUUUUAAUUGAUUAGGAAUUUUGUUGGGGCGACAGUGAGAUUUUUUUAACUCUCAUAAUUUAUAAUUUAUUUAUGAUUAUAUUAAAGAUCCUUUAUUAUGGAUAUUUAGAUUAAAUUACCUUAGGGAUAACAGCGUAAUUUUUCUGGAGAGUUCUUAUCAAUGGAAGAGUUUGCGACCUCGAUGUUGGAUUAAAAUUAGAGUUAAGUGCAGUAGCUUAAUAUCUAGGUC
rnacentral:rRNA from 1 species